AGGGCCCUGAAUCAAGGCCAGCAGCUUCCUGAUGCUGUUGGUUUCAAGCAGGAGCCUAAAGAGAUGUCUUUCUAUGGUCUGUUGGCCAUUUCAGAACUUGGGCAAUGAAAUGGUCAAUUCAUUAGAAAGAAACAGUU
ensembl:snoRNA small nucleolar RNA SNORA2/SNORA34 family